AUGGCACUGUUUCGCAGUCUGUUUGAGUGGGUUCAAUGUUUUGUUCACCGCAUACCCAAAAGGAGAAAAAAACAGGGGGUGCAGAAGUGCACAGAAGCAGAAAGUACCCCAAUGGAAGGGAUGAGGAGGCCCCUUGAUGUUGGUGAUACUGACCAGAAGUACCUAAAUGAUGAGGAAAAAAGAGAGGUGGGGAGGAAAAGAAAGUUAAAGAAGGAAAGAAAGAUGGUGGACGAGAGAGAAUCGGGCAGAAUGGAAGAGGAGACCAAAGACCCAACUCCAUUGCUAAUCGAGGUCAAAGCACAACCAACUCCACCAGCCGCUGAAGCCAAAACCCCGGCUAGUUCUUCCUUCAUAAAGUCAUCAGUGAAAGAGCCACUGGUGGCUAAAAGCGCCUGUCGAAACCUGCCUCCAAUGGCCACCAAGACCAGACCUCCUUCAUCAGGGGAAGAACCAAUGCUGGUUCAAAAGGUAUCACAACAACACCCUGAUUUAUCAGCCACUGAGGUUCAACCCCUUCCUGGUUCUUCCUUCAUAAAUCCUCCUUUAUCAGUGGCAAAUUUUGCUCCUAAAGCUACUGAGACCAAACCUCUGCGUGGUUCUUUUGUGGUGGACCCUGAGGUGGUUCAAAGAGCCUCUCGAAACCUGGUUCCAGCAGCCAUCAAGAAUAUAUCACUGAAAUCAGUGACUAAAUUAUUGAUUCGUCAAAGAACCUCAAGACAUUUUGCUCCAAAACCUACUGAGAGCAAACCUCCGCGUGGAUCUUUUAUGCUAGAACCCAAGAUGGUUCAAAGGGCAUCUCAACAUCUGGCUCCACCAGCUGAAGAACCAUCAGUGACAGAACCAUUGGUCCUUCAGCAUACGUCGACAAAAUCUCUGUCACAUUCAAUGGAAGAACAAUCGAUGGAACAAGUGAUGCUUCCUUCAAGACAAAUUCCUAAAUGUGCUGAGGUGAAGCCAAAGCCAGCCAGUUCAUCGCGCAGCCUAACGGACACUGAAUCUGAAGAGGAUGGGUCUGUGGAGCACACAGAGAGGACAAUACCUUCCAGUGAGUCUGAGACUAUUCACGAGCAAACGCUGGAGGCUGGGGUGAAUCAGAAACCAAUGUUUGAGAAGAUCCAUCCUAUAGUUCUGGAACAGUCGAAUGACUCUGAGAGAAAGAAGUGUGGAGACUCCAAAGCUGAUGCUUUACAAAAGCCUAAGAAACUGGAUGAACAAAUGAUGAGGCUGUUCUGUGUAGCCUACAGCCCUUGUCCUAAGAAAGAGAACCAACAACCUUCAAGAGAAGGUCCAGAGAAGCCUAAGAAAAGAAGAAAAACAAGAGCUGGUCUUUUCCGCUGGGCAGAGAAAUGGUUACAAACGAUAAUUGAAGCAAACGAAGAGUCAGAAAAGGAUGAAAAAUCUUGA
ensembl:lncRNA